AGUGAACGCUGGCGGUAGGCCCAACACAUGCAAGUCGAACGGCAGCACAGUAAGAGCUUGCUCUUACGGGUGGCGAGUGGCGGACGGGUGAGGAAUACAUCGGAAUCUACUUUUUCGUGGGGGAUAACGUAGGGAAACUUACGCUAAUACCGCAUACGACCUACGGGUGAAAGCAGGGGAUCUUCGGACCUUGCGCGAUUGAAUGAGCCGAUGUCGGAUUAGCUAGUUGGCUGGGUAAAGGCCCACCAAGGCGACGAUCCGUAGCUGGUCUGAGAGGAUGAUCAGCCACACUGGAAAUGAGAAACGGUCAAGACUCCUACGGGAGGCAGCAGUGGGGAAUAUUGAACAAUGGGCGCAAGCCUGAUCCAGCCAUACCGCGUGGGUGAAGAAGGCCUUCGGGUUGUAAAGCCCUUUUGUUGGGAAAGAAAAGCAGCAGGUUAAUACCCCGCUGUUCUGACGGUACCCAAAGAAUAAGCACCGGCUAACUUCGUG
rnacentral:rRNA from 1 species